rnacentral:rRNA from 1 species
GGCGCGCCCCGUGAUGAAGAAGGCCUUCGGGUCGUAAAGCUCUGUUGUAUGGGAAGAAAUGUAUGAAUACGGAAUGAUUCUAGUUCGACGGUACCUUACCAGAAAGCGACGGCUAAAUACGUGCCAGCAGCCGCGGUAAUAAGCU